ACCUAAGAGAUUUGGCGGUACUCGUUACUUAUUAGAGAAAUUUGCUAUAAGAGAUCGAUAAUCCCCGAAGAAUCUUACUUUUAUUAGUAUAAUCAGUUUGUAUACCGUCAUAGAUGUGAUUUCUAGAGAAUGUAAAUCAUUUAAUUAAUUUAGUUAGAUAAGACAUUAGAUCAAGGUGCAGCUAAUAUAAAAGGUUAAAGUGAAUUGCAGUGUAGUUUUAUAGAUGUUUGGAAGAAGGAUCGAAUGAGCUUUCUUAAAGUGGAUUUAAUAGUAAUAGUAUUUUAAUAAGAUAUUUUGAUUAUAGUUCUGGAGUAUGU
rnacentral:rRNA from 1 species